GACGAACGCUGGCGGCGUGCUUAACACAUGCAAGUCGAACGAAGUGGCGAACGGGUGAGUAAUACGUGAGUAACCUGCCCUCCUUUUUGGGAUAAGCCUUGGAAACGUGGUCUAAUACCCAUUAUCGGGGGAUGGGCUCGGGGCCUAUCAGCGUGUUGGUGGGGUGAUGGCCUACCAAGGCGGUGACUGGUAGCCGGCCUGAGAGGGUGACAGGGCACAUUGGGACUGGGACACGGCCCAGACUGCUACGGGAGGGAGGAGUGGGGGAUAUUGCACACUGGGCGAAAGCCUGCUGCAGCGACGCCGCGUGGGGGAUGAAGGCUUUCGGGUUGUAAACCGCGUUCGCUAUCGAAGGGGUAGGUGGAGAAGAAGCGCCGGCUAACUACGUGCCAGCAGCCGCGGUAAUUC
rnacentral:rRNA from 1 species